rnacentral:rRNA from 1 species
AACGAACGCUGGCGGCGUGUUUAAGACAUGCAAGUCGCACGGGAUCAAUUUUGUAGCAAUACACGGUUGGUUCAGUGGCGCACGGGUGAGUAACACGUGAAUAACAUGCCCUUCAGUGGGGAAUAGCCCAGGGAAACUUGGAUUAAUACCCCAUGGUAUCGCAAGAUUAAAGGUGGCCGCAAGGCUGUCGCUGAAGGAUUGGUUCGCGCCCUAUCAGCUUGUUGGUGAGGUAACGGCUCACCAAGGCUACGACGGGUACCUGGUCUGAGAGGACGAUCAGGCACACUGGAACUGAGACACGGUCCAGACACCUACGGGUGGCAGCAGUCGAGAAUAAUUCACAAUGGGGGCAACCCUGAUGGUGCAACGCCGCGUGGAGGAUGACGGUCUUCGGAUUGUAAACUCCUGUCAUCCGGGAGUAAGACCUGGCUGUGAAUAGCAGACAGGGUUGAUAGUACCGGAAGAGGAAGGGACGGCUAACUUCGUGCCAGCCGCCGCCGUAA